rnacentral:piRNA from 1 species
AUUGUCCUAAGAAGAUUUAAUCUUC